rnacentral:rRNA from 1 species
UUCCUACGGGAGGCAGCAGUGGGGAAUUUUACGCAAUGGGGGAAACCCUGACGUAGCGACACCGCGUGAACGAAGAAGCCUUUUGGGGUGUAAAGUUCUGUCAGCAGGAACGAAAUAAAUGACGGUACCUGCAGAGGAAGCAUCGGCUAACUACGUGCCAGCAGCCGCGGUAAGACGUAGGAUGCGAGCGUUGUCCGGCUUCAUUGGGCGUAAAGAGUUCGUAGGCGUUUCAUUAAGGCUGGUGUUAAAGACUGGGGCUCAACCCUGGAACAGCACUGGAUACUGGUGGGCUGGAGUGUGGUAGAGGCAAGCGGAAUUCCUGGUGUAGCGGUGAAAUGCGUAGAUAUCAGGAAGAACACCGGUGGCGUAAGCGGCUUGCUGGGCCAUAACUGACGCUGAGGAACGAAAGCUAGGGUAGCGAAUGGGAUUAGAUACCCUAGUAGUCA